rnacentral:rRNA from 1 species
GAUGAGCCCGCGGCCUAUCAGCUUGUUGGUGAGGUAACGGCUCACCAAGGCGACGACGGGUAGCCGGCCUGAGAUGGCGACCGGCCACACUGGGACUGAGACACGGCCCAGACUCCUACGGGAGGCAGCAGUGGGGAAUAUUGCACAAUGGGCGAAAGCCUGAUGCAGCGACGCCGCGUGAGGGAUGACGGCCUUCGGGUUGUAAACCUCUUUCAGCAGGGAAGAAGCGAAAGUGACGGUACCUGCAGAAGAAGCGCCGGCUAACUACGUGCCAGCAGCCGCGGUAAUACGUAGGAAGCAAGCGUUGUCCGGAAUUAUUGGGCGUAAAGAGCUCGUAGGCGGCUUGUCGCGUCGGUUGUGAAAGCCCGGGGCUUAACCCCGGGUCUGCAGUCGAUACGGGCAGGCUAGAGUUCGGUAGGGGAGAUCGGAAUUCCUGGUGUAGCGGUGAAAUGCGCAGAUAUCAGGAGGAACACCGGUGGCGAAGGCGGAUCUCUGGGCCGAUACUGACGCUGAGGAGCGAAAGCGUGGGGAGCGAACAGGAUUAGAUA